AGUUGCUUCCUUGGUGAUUUCAGCCACAGCCUCUGAUCAAAACUCCCUAGGUCCACUCUCACCUCCGAUUGUCGGUUGUUCUCCACAGAGCUGUCAGGGCAACAGAAGUCACAUCACUUCGCUCUCCUGCUUAAAGUGUGAACCCCAAACUCUUCCCCUCGGCCUCCAAGGCCCCCCGUGGUCUGAGGCUGCGUACCUCUUUGGCCUGCCUCUGCUGGCCCUUUACUCUCUAGAGCUCUGGCCUCCUUUCAAAGCUCAUCAGCUUGAUCCCUCUUCCCCAGAUCUUUGCCUGCCUGCUUUUUUCUGGCCAUUGGAGUUUUAGUUCACUUUGUCACCUCCUCAGAGGUCUUCUCUGACCACCCAGACCAAAGUGGUCCCCUCCCAGUCCUUUCUCGCAUCCAUUUUAUUUCUUCCCCAGCACGGUAUGGGUCCCUGAACUUACUAUGUUCACAUGUUUCUUGUCCAUCUCUUCUACCAGGAAGUGAAGCUUGCUGAGGGCAUGGGGCUUAUCUGUCUUUUCAUCUGAUCCCCCAGUACCCCAGGAAUGGGUCUGGCUCAGAAUAGGCACUCAAUGCAUCAUCUGUCAACUUUGUGAAUAAAGAUAGAAUGACCUCUGUCCUCAGGCUGGUGGGAGCCAGGGUGGCAGGCCUGGGAGCAAGAACUGAAGAGAUCCUGACCAACCAGCCCUUCCUUCACCCUGAGGGCACCCCCUCUCCACCACCAGGCCUGAAGAUUUGGCCAGGACCUCCUCUCCACAGCAGACCCAGAGGCUGUGUGCCACGCCCAGCACACAGACCACACUCCAGAAGAGGCGGUGCCACCCUCUUCCCAGGGCCAGGAGAAAUCAGUGGAGGGCCCAAUCGCAGGAUGAAGGGGCCUCUUAAGGAAUCCCAGUGGAGAGGCGGGGAGCCGUCCCCCAAAGCUUCUGCUCCUCUGUGUCAACGCUGGCCUCAGCUCUCACCCUUACCCUGCCCCCACCCUCUGCACUGGAAGGAACCAGUUCUGUACCUAUGGAGCAGACAUCUGUCCCCAAGAACCUUCUAGAAGAGAUGGCGACGGAAAUACGUAGAAGGAGGCACAAAUGGACCAGCUGCUGCCAAAAUGCCAACCUCUGAGCCCACUCCCCGGUCACAGCCCUGGGAGCUGCCCACUGUGGGGAGCGCCGGGACCCUCAACUGACAGACAAGGAGCCUGGUGAGCCAGACAGAAAUCAGGCGCUGGGAAAGGAAAUCUUUGAGAGACGUGGAAACUGACACCUCUGCGUUCUUCAGCUCCAGCCCAGCUCCGGAACCUCGGGAGGAGGAUGGGCAGCCCGGGCAUAGCUCUGCCUGCAGCUCGCAGCAGGGCACCCAGGGCUUGCCGAGUCUGGGAGGUGUGCACAGUGCCCCGGAACCCCCAGGCCCCUCCAGCACUCAAGUCGCCAGUGAGCCACGAAUUCUACAAAAUGUUUCGAGCACUUGCUCUAUGCUAAAUACUCAUUCUGUAACAUAUAUAAUUUUGGGGGAUACCACAGUGGUCAGGACAGAUCCAGUCUCACUCCAAGGAUCUAAUCAGGAAUCUUCCCUUCCUACACCAAGCUUUUAUAGAGGGUUCCAGAGGAGCAGGGUUUGAGCUUAAAAAAAAAAAAGUCACCAAGGAUACCCAGGUGGGGGCUGGGGAGAGUCUAAAGAAGAGAAAAGCCUUCAAAAAGGUUUCUUGGUUUUCAGAGAGUUAAAAUAAAGGGACCCUAAAAUGGGGGUGUUAACCCUUCCUUCUGAGACCAAACACCAUUCGCCUCCUACCUGCAGCCCCACCAGCGACACCCUCAGGCCCCACCAAAACACACCAAUGACUCCAACCAGGAGACCCCCCACCCCAACACUUCCCCACUGAACCAAAGCCCAGCUCCUGACCCCACCUCAGCCAGCGUGCAGCUACAGCUAACCCACUGGCACAGAAGUGGGGGCAUUUGCCUGGGGUAGAGGAAUUCAGGAGGAAAGGAGGAGGCUCAGUUGCCAUCAGAAUGACAAUUAAGGCUAUUAGGGGAAGGGGGGAGCUCAAAGCCCUCUUUGACAAAGUGCUGCAAAAAAGAAUUAUUUAAAUGUUUGUUGUUCUUUUGGCUCAGACAGAAAAUUGUUUGGCACUGGGAGUUGGGAAGCAGAGAAACCAAGAGUUUAGGUAAAAACCAAUGUUUUGGCAACUCCUGAAGAUACGUCACAAAUUAAUUGCUCUUUCUCCUCAUCUUCCUGUUCCUCGCACCCCUCCCCCCAACACCCCAACACACACCUCAGCCUGGUGGUUGCUGCCAAACAAACUUUGCAAAUGAAAAUUUCAACCAGGAAAACGGGCCUGGGGCCAAGUUCCAUUCAAAUAAGCAAAUACCCCACACAAUGGUCUGAUUCAUCCCCAGGCCUAGUUACACAAGCCCGGCUCGGGGUAGAGAAAAUAAAUAUCAAUAUAAGUGUCCAUGCUGGGCACUGGGGACCGCAGGAAGGCCGGGGCCUUGGGGAGGGGGCUUGCAGAGCUUCUGCGGCCGGGGAGCGAGGAAGUGGGCUGGGUUGGAAUAGCGGGGUUGAGAGCACCCCCCACCCCAGU